rnacentral:rRNA from 1 species
UACACUCCUGCGGGAGGCAGCAGUGGGGAAUAUUGGACAAUGGGCGCAAGCCUGAUCCAGCCAUGCCGCGUGAGUGAUGAAGGCCCUAGGGUUGUAAAGCUCUUUCACCGGAGAAGAUAAUGACGGUAUCCGGAGAAGAAGCCCCGGCUAACUUCGUGCCAGCAGCCGCGGUAAUACGAAGGGGGCUAGCGUUGUUCGGAAUUACUGGGCGUAAAGCGCACGUAGGCGGAUCGAUCAGUCAGGGGUGAAAUCCCAGGGCUCAACCCUGGAACUGCCUUUGAUACUGUCGAUCUGGAGUAUGGAAGAGGUGAGUGGAAUUCCGAGUGUAGAGGUGAAAUUCGUAGAUAUUCGGAGGAACACCAGUGGCGAAGGCGGCUCACUGGUCCAUUACUGACGCUGAGGUGCGAAAGCGUGGGGAGCAAACAGGAUUAGAAACCCUGGUAGUCCCAU